CACAGUUAUGCAUUCCCAGAAGAUAAACAAGCACUAUCUUGACUGUGUGGUCAAGGACCCCGAGAUGCCGUGCUUCCUCUUUCGUGACUUAUUCCAGCCCUUCUUCUUAGUCCAGGACUUAGUGACGGGAGACUCUGGCAGCUUCUUGGGCAGUUAUGUGCUGAAGGUGGUGGGCGGUGGUCGCACAGAAGAAACCAUCAAAGACUACACAGAAGAGGAAAUCUUCCGUUACAACAGCCCGCUGGACACGUAAUCCCCUUGGGGUCCUGGUCCACAGCUGGUGGGUCUGGUCUAUUGGGUCUCCCCUCCCACUUGUAGUUAAGCAGGGGACUCUUUCUGCCAACUACAAACACUCAAGGUGCCUCAGAGAGGAAAGCCAAGGGUCCCGCAACCCUGCCCCGUCCUCAAGUUCCCCACCCUUAGGUGCUGAGAACCAUCUGCACUCUCAACCCACUUUGACUCUUUAUGGGCCUGCUUAGAACGAAAAGUCUCAUCUGGAAAACCAAAGCUGAAAGGACCACCAGUGACAACAAGUUCUACAUAAUGUCCCAUAAGAGCCCCGGAAUAGAGUGGCUGUGUUCGGAGAACUCCCCUUGCUACGACAUCAUCCCCACAGACAUCUUUCCACCUGAAUUCUUCUUCAAGUUGUUAGUGAGCAAUAGUAACUCAAUCCUGGGCUCCAUCCCCUCACCAGAGGUGUAGACGACAGCACAUACUGUGACUACCAGCUC
rnacentral:lncRNA from 1 species